rnacentral:tRNA from 1 species
GCCAGGAUAGUCUAGUGGUAUGACGGUGGCUUCGAAAGCCUCUGCCUUUUGGCGCCGGGGUUCAAAUCCCCGUCCUGGCUCCA